rnacentral:rRNA from 1 species
UACGAAGGGGGCUAGCGUUGCUCGGAAUCACUGGGCGUAAAGGGUGCGUAGGCGGGUCUUUAAGUCAGGGGUGAAAUCCUGGAGCUCAACUCCAGAACUGCCUUUGAUACUGAGGAUCUUGAGUCCGGGAGAGGUGGGUGGAACUGCGAGUGUAGAGGUGAAAUUCGUAGAUAUUCGCAAGAACACCAGUGGCGAAGGCGGCUCACUGGCCCGGUACUGACGCUGAGGCACGAAAGCGUGGGGAGCAAACAGG